AUCUUCAAUUCACAUCGCCGUCCCAGAUUGACAUCUAGCAAUGUGUCAGGGAAAUAUAUUUGACGAAAAAUGUCACGUUGUAUGAGAAAACAAAGUUUGUUCGUUUACCGUGGAACUAUAAUCCCUUAGUCAAUAUGAUCCGAUUAAUUAUGAGAUAUGAAAAUGUAUCAAUUUCAAUUAUCGAUCAUAUCUAUCACUCCACUAUAAAGUCAAUAUAAGUCAAAAACUCAUUUUCAACUUAUAAGUACACAUUGGCCAAGGAUUUCGCUAUUGACUCAACUGGAUGAAAUGUAGAUCAUAAUCGCUUACUAUCUAAGAGUGACGAAUCCUCUAUUAAUCAUUCACAACCUUCAUAUGAUUUUUGACAUAUUUGAACGAUGCCGUAUUAGCG
rnacentral:lncRNA from 1 species